GCACCCAUUUCAAUUUCCUCCAAAUCCUAAUCUAAUUAGGAUUUAAUUGAACCAUGACUCAAUUAAACUCUUCAAUUCUAAUCCAAUUAGGAGUCUUUUAAUUAAUUAGAUUAAAAUUAAAAUUAAUUAGGACUUAAGAAAAUCCUAAUCUAAUUAGGACUUAUUAAAUUUCAGCCCUAAGGUAAUUAGGACUUUAGAAA
rnacentral:lncRNA from 1 species